rnacentral:rRNA from 1 species
GACGAACGCUGGCGGCGUGCUUAACACAUGCAAGUCGAACGAAGAGCGAUGGGAGCUUGCUUCUAUCAAUCUUAGUGGCGAACGGGUGAGUAACGCGUAAUCAACCUGCCCUUCAGAGGGGGACAACAGUUGGAAACGACUGCUAAUACCGCAUACGAUCUAAUCUCGGCAUCGAGGAUAGAUGAAAGGUGGCCUCUACAUGUAAGCUAUCACUGAAGGAGGGGAUUGCGUCUGAUUAGCUAGUUGGUGGGGUAACGGCCCACCAAGGCGAUGAUCAGUAGCCGGUCUGAGAGGAUGAACGGCCACAUUGGGACUGGGACACGGCCCAGACUCCUACGGGAGGCAGCAGUGGGGAAUCUUCCGCAAUAGACGAAAGUCUGACGGAGCAACGCCGCGUGAGUGAUGACGGCCUUCGGGUUGUAAAGCUCUGUUAAUCGGGACGAAAGGCCUUCUUGCGAACAGUUAGAAGGAUUGACGGUACCGGAAUAGAAAGCCACGGCUAACUACGUG